rnacentral:rRNA from 1 species
GUAAGGUGAUAUGAACCGUUAUAACCGGCGAUUUCCGAAUGGGGAAACCCAGUGUGUUUCGACACACUAUCAUUAACUGAAUCCAUAGGUUAAUGAGGCGAACCGGGGGAACUGAAACAUCUAAGUACCCCGAGGAAAAGAAAUCAACCGAGAUUCCCCCAGUAGCGGCGAGCGAACGGGGAGCAGCCCAGAGCCUGAAUCAGUGUGUGUGUUAGUGGAAGCGUCUGGAAAGGCGCGCGAUACAGGGUGACAGCCCCGUACACAAAAAUGCACAUGCUGUGAGCUCGAUGAGUAGGGCGGGACACGUGGUAUCCUGUCUGAAUAUGGGGGGACCAUCCUCCAAGGCUAAAUACUCCUGACUGACCGAUAGUGAACCAGUACCGUGAGGGAAAGGCGAAAAGAACCCCGGCGAGGGGAGUGAAAAAGAACCUGAAACCGUGUACGUACAAGCAGUGGGAGCACGCUUAGGCGUGUGACUGCGUACCUUUUGUAUAAUGGGUCAGCGACUUAUAUUCUGUAGCAAGGUUAACCGAAUAGGGGAGCCGAAGGGAAACCGAGUCUUAACUGGGCGUUAAGUUGCAGGGUAUAGACCCGAAACCCGGUGAUCUAGCCAUGGGCAGGUUGAAGGUUGGGUAACACUAACUGGAGGACCGAACCGACUAAUGUUGAAAAAUUAGCGGAUGACUUGUGGCUGGGGGUGAAAGGCCAAUCAAACCGGGAGAUAGCUGGUUCUCCCCGAAAGCUAUUUAGGUAGCGCCUCGUGAAUUCAUCUCCGGGGGUAGAGCACUGUUUCGGCAAGGGGGUCAUCCCGACUUACCAACCCGAUGCAAACUGCGAAUACCGGAGAAUGUUAUCACGGGAGACACACGGCGGGUGCUAACGUCCGUCGUGAAGAGGGAAACAACCCAGACCGCCAGCUAAGGUCCCAAAGUCAUGGUUAAGUGGGAAACGAUGUGGGAAGGCCCAGACAGCCAGGAUGUUGGCUUAGAAGCAGCCAUCAUUUAAAGAAAGCGUAAUAGCUCACUGGUCGAGUCGGCCUGCGCGGAAGAUGUAACGGGGCUAAACCAUGCACCGAAGCUGCGGCAGCGACGCUGAUGCGUUGUUGGGUAGGGGAGCGUUCUGUAAGCCUGCGAAGGUGUGCUGUGAGGCAUGCUGGAGGUAUCAGAAGUGCGAAUGCUGACAUAAGUAACGAUAAAGCGGGUGAAAAGCCCGCUCGCCGGAAGACCAAGGGUUCCUGUCCAACGUUAAUCGGGGCAGGGUGAGUCGACCCCUAAGGCGAGGCCGAAAGGCGUAGUCGAUGGGAAACAGGUUAAUAUUCCUGUACUUGGUGUUACUGCGAAGGGGGGACGGAGAAGGCUAUGUUGGCCGGGCGACGGUUGUCCCGGUUUAAGCGUGUAGGCUGGUUUUCCAGGCAAAUCCGGAAAAUCAAGGCUGAGGCGUGAUGACGAGGCACUACGGUGCUGAAGCAACAAAUGCCCUGCUUCCAGGAAAAGCCUCUAAGCAUCAGGUAACAUCAAAUCGUACCCCAAACCGACACAGGUGGUCAGGUAGAGAAUACCAAGGCGCUUGAGAGAACUCGGGUGAAGGAACUAGGCAAAAUGGUGCCGUAACUUCGGGAGAAGGCACGCUGAUAUGUAGGUGAGGUCCCUCGCGGAUGGAGCUGAAAUCAGUCGAAGAUACCAGCUGGCUGCAACUGUUUAUUAAAAACACAGCACUGUGCAAACACGAAAGUGGACGUAUACGGUGUGACGCCUGCCCGGUGCCGGAAGGUUAAUUGAUGGGGUUAGCGCAAGCGAAGCUCUUGAUCGAAGCCCCGGUAAACGGCGGCCGUAACUAUAACGGUCCUAAGGUAGCGAAAUUCCUUGUCGGGUAAGUUCCGACCUGCACGAAUGGCGUAAUGAUGGCCAGGCUGUCUCCACCCGAGACUCAGUGAAAUUGAACUCGCUGUGAAGAUGCAGUGUACCCGCGGCAAGACGGAAAGACCCCGUGAACCUUUACUAUAGCUUGACACUGAACAUUGAGCCUUGAUGUGUAGGAUAGGUGGGAGGCUUUGAAGUGUGGACGCCAGUCUGCAUGGAGCCGACCUUGAAAUACCACCCUUUAAUGUUUGAUGUUCUAACGUUGACCCGUAAUCCGGGUUGCGGACAGUGUCUGGUGGGUAGUUUGACUGGGGCGGUCUCCUCCUAAAGAGUAACGGAGGAGCACGAAGGUUGGCUAAUCCUGGUCGGACAUCAGGAGGUUAGUGCAAUGGCAUAAGCCAGCUUGACUGCGAGCGUGACGGCGCGAGCAGGUGCGAAAGCAGGUCAUAGUGAUCCGGUGGUUCUGAAUGGAAGGGCCAUCGCUCAACGGAUAAAAGGUACUCCGGGGAUAACAGGCUGAUACCGCCCAAGAGUUCAUAUCGACGGCGGUGUUUGGCACCUCGAUGUCGGCUCAUCACAUCCUGGGGCUGAAGUAGGUCCCAAGGGUAUGGCUGUUCGCCAUUUAAAGUGGUACGCGAGCUGGGUUUAGAACGUCGUGAGACAGUUCGGUCCCUAUCUGCCGUGGGCGCUGGAGAACUGAGGGGGGCUGCUCCUAGUACGAGAGGACCGGAGUGGACGCAUCACUGGUGUUCGGGUUGUCAUGCCAAUGGCACUGCCCGGUAGCUAAAUGCGGAAGAGAUAAGUGCUGAAAGCAUCUAAGCACGAAACUUGCCCCGAGAUGAGUUCUCCCUGACUCCUUGAGAGUCCUGAAGGAACGUUGAAGACGACGACGUUGAUAGGCCGGGUGUGUAAGCGCAGCGAUGCGUUGAGCUAACCGGUACUAAUGAACCGUGAGGCUUAACCUU